CCUACGGGUGGCAGCAGUGAGGAAUAUUGGUCAAUGGCCGGAAGUCUGAACCAGCCAAGCCGCGUGAAGGACGAAGGUGCCAAGCAUUGUAAACUUCUUUUGUCAAGGGACAAAAUCAGGCUCGAGAGCCUGCCCGAGGGUACUUGAAGAAAAAGCAUCGGCUAACUCCGUGCCAGCAGCCGCGGUAAUACGGAGGAUGCGAGCGUUAUCCGGAUUUAUUGGGUUUAAAGGGUGCGUAGGCGGGCUGUUAAGUCAGCGGUAAAAGCCCGGGGCUCAACCCCGGCGAGCCGUUGAAACUGGCUGUCUUGAGAUGGCGAGAGGUAUGCGGAAUGCGCAGUGUAGCGGUGAAAUGCUUAGAUAUUGCGCAGAACUCCGAUUGCGAAGGCAGCAUACCGGCGGCGAUCUGACGCUGAGGCACGAAAGCGUGGGUAUCGAACAGGAUUAGAUACCCUUGUAGUC
rnacentral:rRNA from 1 species